GUAUUUCUUCAUGGAGAUGAAAACUUAAAAUUUUUGUUGAAUCUUCUGACAUCUUCAACUGCUUUGUGAAGUCUACUACAGUAUACUGCAAGUAAAAUGAUUUCCUAGUCUUCUGAAAAGAAUAUCUUACUCUGCGUUUGUGACAUACGUGCAUCAUCAUGCUUUCCAGUUUCAGACAUAAUGGCCUUCAUUCCCAAGGUCACCUCCUGGUCCCCUAUGGCUUCUUUGCCCUUUAGACCGCAUGUUCAUAUUCUGGCUAGCAGGUAAGAGAGAAGCACAGAGAAGAAAGGAGAGAAGAUCAUGUGUCAGCUACUUUUACUACUCUUAACAAU
rnacentral:lncRNA from 1 species